UGCUUGCUUCGGCAGCACAAUACUAAAAUUGGAAUGAUACAGAGAAGAUUAGCAUGGCCCCUGCACAAGAAAAACAUAUUUUGGGCCCGGAGAGAUAGCACAGCGGC